rnacentral:rRNA from 1 species
UUCCCUCCUGAGUGGAUCCUGAGUACGGCGGGACACGUGAAAUCCCGUCGGAAGCAGGGAGGACCAUCUCCCAAGGCUAAAUACUCCCUAGUGACCGAUAGUGAACCAGUACCGUGAGGGAAAGGUGAAAAGCACCCCGGGAGGGGAGUGAAAGAGAACCUGAAACCGUGUGCCUACAAGUAGUUAGAGCCCGUUAAUGGGUGAUAGCGUGCCUUUUGUAGAAUGAACCGGCGAGUUACGAUUUCAUGCAAGGUUAAGCUGAUGAGGCGGAGCCGCAGCGAAAGCGAGUCUGAAUAGGGCGAAAGAGUAUGAGGUCGUAGACCCGAAACCAGGUGAUCUACCCAUGUCCAGGGUGAAGGUAAGGUAACACUUACUGGAGGCCCGAACCCACGCACGUUGAAAAGUGCGGGGAUGAGGUGUGGGUAGCGGAGAAAUUCCAAUCGAACUUGGAGAUAGCUGGUUCUCUCCGAAAUAGCUUUAGGGCUAGCCUCAAGAUGAGAGUAUUGGAGGUAGAGCACUGUUUGGACUAGGGGCCCUCAUCGGGUUACCGAAUUCAGACAAACUCCGAAUGCCAAAUACUUAUGCUUGGGAGUCAGACUGCGAGUGAUAAGAUCCGUAGUCAAAAGGGAAACAGCCCAGACCACCAGCUAAGGUCCCAAAGUAUACGUUAAGUGGAAAAGGAUGUGGAGUUGCUUAGACAACCAGGAUGUUGGCUUAGAAGCAGCCACCAUUUAAAGAGUGCGUAAUAGCUCACUGGUCGAGUGACUCUGCGCCGAAAAUGUACCGGGGCUAAACGUAUCACCGAAGCUGUGGAUGGACAUGUUGAUGCAUAUUUUCCUUUGGAAAAAUGCCGUGUCCGUGGUAGGAGAGCGUUCUAAGGGCGUUGAAGCUAGACCGAAAGGACUGGUGGAGCGCUUAGAAGUGAGAAUGCCGGUAUGAGUAGCGAAAGAAGGGUGAGAAUCCCUUCCACCGAAUGCCUAAGGUUUCCUGAGGAAGGCUCGUCCGCUCAGGGUUAGUCGGGACCUAAGCCGAGGCCGAAAGGCGUAGGCGAUGGACAACAGGUUGAUAUUCCUGUACCACCUCUUCACCGUUUGAACGAUGGGGGGACGCAGGAGGAUAGGGUAAGCGCGCUGCUGGUUAUGCGCGUCCAAGCAGUUAGGCUGGUUACGAGGCAAAUCCCGUAACCGUGAAGGCGGAGCUGUGAUGGCGAGGGAAAUAUAGUACCGAAGUUCCUGAUUCCACACUGCCAAGAAAAUCCUCUAGUGAGGUGAAAGGUGCCCGUACCGCAAACCGACACAGGUAGGCGAGGAGAGAAUCCUAAGGUGAGCGAGAGAACUCUCGUUAAGGAACUCGGCAAAAUGACCCCGUAACUUCGGGAGAAGGGGUGCUCUGGUAGGGUGCAAGCCCGAGAGAGCCGCAGUGAAUAGGCCCAGGCGACUGUUUAGCAAAAACACAGGUCUCUGCGAAGCCGCAAGGCGAAGUAUAGGGGCUGACGCCUGCCCGGUGCUGGAAGGUUAAGAGGAGGGGUUAGCGUAAGCGAAGCUCUGAAUUGAAGCCCCAGUAAACGGCGGCCGUAACUAUAACGGUCCUAAGGUAGCGAAAUUCCUUGUCAGGUAAGUUCUGACCCGCACGAAAGGCGUAACGAUCUGGGCACUGUCUCAACGAGAGACUCGGUGAAAUUAUAGUACCUGUGAAGAUGCAGGUUACCCGCGACAGGACGGAAAGACCCCGUGGAGCUUUACUGCAGCUUGAUAUUGAAUUUUGGUACAGCUUGUACAGGAUAGGUAGGAGCCUUUGAAGCCGGAGCGCCAGCUUCGGUGGAGGCGUCGGUGGGAUACUACCCUGGCUGUAUUGAAAUUCUAACCCGCACCCCUUAUCGGGGUGGGAGACAGUGUCAGGCAGGCAGUUUGACUGGGGCGGUCGCCUCCUAAAGAGUAACGGAGGCGCCCAAAGGUUCCCUCAGAAUGGUUGGAAAUCAUUCGCAGAGUGUAAAGGCACAAGGG